ACACACACCGAGCUUAGUAACCGUGAGCUCAGAAACUAAAGCGGAUCCCAACCCGAGGGGCCCGUGGGAUUGCGCGACAUGGUCACAUGGCGACCUAUGAUUAAUGCGCACUCUAACAAGUACACCAUGGUCACGUUGUGUAAAUUGCACCUGCAGAAGACGUCAGCCUAAAGGAGGAAGAGACUGUGGGCAGUGGAGGUGUGAUAUGAACAGGAUAUGAGACUGAGAGAUGCCAAUCAACCUACCAUGCAUGUCUUUGGGCCGGGGAGAAAACCCCCGAGGCACGGGGAGAACAUGCAAACUCCACACACACAAGGCGGAGGCGGGUUCUGAACCCCCAACCCUGGAGGAGUGAGGCAAACGUGAAAAAGAAAAGAAAAUAGAUUAUAAUCUAUAAAUAGAUUAUUACAUUUUGUAGUAACGUCAAUAUGACAAAGAAAAAAAAAAUAAAGCAGCACGAAGAGGAAAGAAACCUAAUAACUUCACUUCAUUUGAUAGAUUUACAUUGUUGUUCUUAGAAAUCUUUUUACACACCACACUUUAAAUUUGCACAAAUUUGACUUUUCACACGACACACAUCACACACAUCAUACCACCGAGUUUGGAAAAUGGUUUUCUGAUUAUGACUUUGUUUUUAGUAAAUAUAAUCACCAGGAUCUAUUCUAUUUAAUGUCCAGUUUAAUGUUAAGUUUGUAGAGUUUAAUAUUCACCUCCAUUUCUAUUCAUUUCAUAUUAAAUAGUAAGACAAGUAGCUUUUUGUCUUAGGAAGCGCUAAAGCUUUAGACAUGAUGAUUUAACACAGAAGUGGAAGAUACAGUAAUACAUUCAGGUCUGAUUCUGAAGAGAAAUGUCCUUAUUUUCAUCACUGAGCCUCAAUAGGAACCUGUUUAUUUCUUUUUUUGUUAUCUCUAAAAGCCAACUCUAGUUCUUCUUUCAUUUAGAGCCUGAAGGAACAGUGCACUAUGUGCCUGCCACUUAUACACCUGACUCUGUACAUGUCCCUGUCAAUGUCUACCCUGUGUACUACCCUGCGUACCACCCCGUGUACCAUCCUGUGUACUGCCCCGUGUUCUACCCAGUGUACUACCACGUCCUGCCACCUGAUGUCCCCUAACGGUGGAGCCUGUUGUAGAAGAAUUCUACCUCCCAUUUCCUCAGGCUCCUCAGAACCACCGCACAUGGACAAGAAAUCGAAAAAGCACUACAGUAAAAUAGUUUUAAUAGUUUUUUAUAACAGUGUUUUUACAUUUUAACAGCAACUUGUAUUUCCUACAUAUUACAAUUCAGGACCUCGAUGAUGGUGACCGAGACGUUAUGGUGGACGAGCUUCCGGGAGGACCAGCCACGUACCCACCCGAGACCACGUUUCCACCCGAGAACGUGUCUGUACCCUGACAUGUGUCAGAUAACACUGCGUCCAUUGACUCUUCUCCAAAUCCUCCAAAACUGACAUGAGGAGAAAUUAUGGACGUACGGGAUGCUGAGCUGGAGGAGGCAGAGAAGCAUAAGGAGCAGGAGGUCAGCAAGGAGAAGGAGAGCCUUGAACUGGUCGAGGAAAAGAGGGAGAAAGUUAUUGAGAAGAAGGUCAAGAUUGUGAAGGUCAUAGAAAAGAAGAAAAAAGAUGAGAACAUGGAUAAAAAGAAGAAAAUAGAGCAGAGAAGACUGCCUACAGCACACCAAACAUAAAGCUUGAAUACCGGACAGACGUAAAAAGCAUUUCACUGCAUGUCGUACUCUGUAUGUACGUGUAUGUGACGAAUAAAAAUUUGAAUAAAAAUUUGAUAAAAUUUUAUCAUGAAGCCAUUUUACACUUUACUCACUUUUACACGCUGCUUUGUGAUUUUCUGUUUAUUUUUCUGUUUUAUUUCUCACAUUUUGAGCUUUUCUUUGAUUGGCUUAUUUAACACAUUGGAUGUUAACUGGACUUAAAUUAAAAAUCUAAAAAGAAAAAUGUCACGAUUAGACACAGGCGAGUGAGGAUCCAAAUGCAGUUUGACCUUUUAUUAAGCCAAAACAAGAAACAGAUAAGCAGGCCAGAAUACUGAGCAGAACAGGGAACAGGAACAGAGACAUAAACAGACAACAUACUACAACGACUGACACCAGGGAAGUGG